UCCUUUUCCUCUCCCUGAUGCCAUUGACCAGAGUUCCUCAAGUGCUCCUCUCCACUCUAGCAAGGCUCAGAGUUUGUCUGCUGUCUCAGCAGCUCUGCAACCCUUCUCCUGCCCAUGGGAUGCUUCCUCCAGCACCACCUGCAUUUCAGUGAGUGGGCAGGCAGCCCACCAGCCCCUGCUUCAGAGCAAGGAGAAGAUGGUUAAGAACAACAGCAGGGGCUAGAAUGGCUGUGAGAAGUGUCUUACAGUAUCAGCAAGGAGCUGCGAAUCACCUUUUAAAGUCUGCCUUCAGAGAAAGGACAGAAGCUCAGAUGUGAUUUGCAGAGCUAUCAAAUGAGAACAAAAGAGAUGCACGCAUUCUGAGUGAAGUGGAAGAAAAUAUUCUACAGCUAGAGAAGCUGGUCUGAGGCUGUGAACACGUGUAUGAUGGAUCACUUGAAA